GUGCCAGCAGCCGCGGUAAUACGUAGGACGCAAACGUUGUCCGGAUUUACUGGGUGUAAAGGGUGCUCAGGCGGUCUUGUAAGUCAGUGGUGAAAUCCCGGAGCUCAACUCCGGAACUGCCUUUGAUACUACAAGGCUUGAGUAUGGAAGAGGUGGAUGGAAUUUCUGGUGUAGCAGUGAAAUGCGUAGAUAUCAGAAAGAACACCAGUGGCGAAGGCGGUCUACUGGUCCAUUACUGACGCUAAAGCACGAAAGCAUGGGGAGCAAACAGGAUUAGAAACCCUCGUAGUCC
rnacentral:rRNA from 1 species